rnacentral:rRNA from 1 species
GACGAACGCUGGCGGCGUGCCUAAUACAUGCAAGUCGAACGCAGUGGGGACGGGUGAGUAACACGCGGGUAACCUACCACCAGCGGGGAUAACACUUGGUAACAGGUGCUAAACCGAUACUGAUGGAUGGAUCCGCGGUGCAUUAGCUAGUUGGUGAGGUAACGGCUCACCAAGGCCACGAUGCAUAGGCGACCUGAGAGGAUGAUCGGCCACAAUGGGACUGCGACACGGCCCAGACUCCUACGGGAGGCAGCAGUAAGGAAUCUUCAGCAAUGGGCGAAAGUCUGACCGAACAACGCCGCGUGAGUGAUGAAGGUUUUCGGAUCGUAAAACUCUGUUGUUAGAGAAGCGGUAUCUAACCAGAAAGCCACGGCUAACUACGUGCCAGCCGCCGCGGUAAUUC